GUAGUACUGAGAAGGUUCCUCAUAGCACUGCUGUAGUACUGGAGAAGGUUCCUCAUAGCACUGCUGUAGUACUGGAGAAGUUUCCUCAUAGCACUGCUGUAGUACUGGAGAAGGUUCCUCAUAGCACUGCUGUAGUACUGGAGAAGUUUCCUCAUAGCACUGCUGUAGUACUGGAGAAGUUUCCUCAUAGCACUGCUGUAGUACUGGAGAAGGUUCCUCAUAGCACUGCUGUAGUACUGGA